UUGGGAAUCUUGCACAAUGGAGGAAACUCUGAUGCAGCGACGCCGCGUGGAGGACGAAGGGUCUAGGCUCGUAAACUCCUUUUUUCGGGAAAGACUUAGGACGGUACCCGAAGAAUAAGCACCGGCUAACUACGUGCCAGCAGCCGCGGUAAGACGUAGGGUGCAAGCGUUGUCCGGAUUUACUGGGCGUAAAGAGCGCGUAGGCGGCUCGUUAAGUGAGAAGUUAAAGCUGUGGGCUUAACCCACAAACCGCUUUUCAUACUGGCGAGCUGGAGUGAUGCAGAGGUGGAUAGAAUUCCCGGUGUAGCGGUGAAAUGCGUUGAUAUCGGGAGGAAUACCCGUGGCGAAGGCGGUCCACUGGGCAUCAACUGACGCUGAGGCGCGAAAGCGUGGGUAGCAAACAG
rnacentral:rRNA from 1 species